CGAGAAGCAGCAACGCCCCUACCUCUCAAGCCUCGGCGGGUAUCCGACGGGUAGUGGGGUUGCGGGGUAUCCGACGGGUACCAGGUGGCGGAUACCAGACGGGCGGCGGGUAUCCACGGGUUGUGGGUAUAGGUGGCAAAUAGUAGUGGGUGGAAAAUAAUUUUUUUGAAUAUACGUUUCGCUAAGUCAUGUUAAGCAUAAAAGUUCUCUUUAAUUUAUUUUUUCAUUUUAGUUUGAUGUGUAACGUAGACUUAUAUCAUAUUUUAACAGUUUUUUUAGUGAAUAAUCUCCAUAAUUUAUAAA
rnacentral:lncRNA from 1 species